rnacentral:rRNA from 1 species
UUGGAGGGCAAGUCUGGUGCCAGCAGCCGCGGUAAUUCCAGCUCCAAUAGCGUAUAUUAAAGUUGUUGCAGUUAAAAAGCUCGUAGUUGAAUUUCGGGACCAAUUUGUUGGUCGUGCCUCGGUACGUACUGGUAUUAUUGGUUUCUCCCUUCUGAAGAACCUUGAUGUCAUUAAUUUGGUGUCUUGGGGAAUCAGGACUGUUACUUUGAAAAAAUUAGAGUGUUUAAAGCAGGCAUACGCUUGAAUACAUUAGCAUGGAAUAAUAAAAUAGGACGUUUGAUUCUAUUUUGUUGGUUUCUAGGAUCGACGUAAUGAUUAAUAGGGAUAGUUGGGGGCAUUAGUAUUCAAUUGUCAGAGGUGAAAUUCUUGGAUUUAUUGAAGACUAACUACUGCGAAAGCAUUUGCCAAGGAUGUUUUCAUUAAUCAAGAACGAAAGUUAGGGGAUCGAAGACGAUCAGAUACCGUCGUAGUCUUAACCAUAAACUAUGCCGACUAGGGAUCGGAUGAUGUUAAUUUUUUAAUGACUCAUUCGGCGCCUUACGGGAAACCAAAGUGUUUGGGUUC